GGUUGAUCCUGCCAGACCUGACUGCUAUCGGAUUGAUACUAAGCCAUGCGAGUCAUUGUAGUAAUACAAGGCAUACGGCUCAGUAACGCGUAGUCAACCUAACCUAUGGACGGGAAUAACCUCGGGAAACUGAGUAUAAUGCCCGAUAGAACAUUAUGCCUGGAAUGGUUUAUGUUCCAAAUGAUUUAUCGCCGUAGGAUGGGACUGCGGCCUAUCAGUUUGUUGGUGAGGUAAUGGCCCACCAAGACUAUUACAGGUACGGGCUCUGAGAGGAGUAGCCCGGAGAUGGGUACUGAGACACGGACCCAGGCCCUAUGGGGCGCAGCAGGCGAGAAAACUUUGCAAUGUGCGAAAGCACGACAAGGUUAAUCCGAGUGGUUUCUGCUAAAGGAACCUUUUGUUAGUCCUAGAAACACUAACGAAUAAGGGGUGGGCAAGUUCUGGUGUCAGCCGCCGCGGUAAAACCAGCACCUCAAGUGGUCAGGAUGAUUAUUGGGCCUAAAGCAUCCGUAGCCGGCUCUGUAAGUUUUCGGUUAAAUCUGUACGCUCAACGUACAGGCUGCCGGGAAUACUGCAGAGCUAGGGAGUGGGAGAGGUAGACGGUACUCGGGAGGAAGGGGUAAAAUCCUUUGAUCUCUCGAUGACCACCUGUGGCGAAGGCGGUCUACCAGAACACGUCCGACGGUGAGGGAUGAAAGCUGGGGGAGCAAACCGGAUUAGAUACCCGGGUAGUCCCAGCUGUAAACUAUGCAAACUCAGUGAUGCAUUGACUUGUGGUCAAUGCAGUGCUGCAGGGAAGCCGUUAAGUUUGCCGCCUGGGAAGUACGUACGCAAGUAUGAAACUUAAAGGAAUUGGCGGGGGAGCACCACAAGGGGUGAAGCCUGCGGUUCAAUUGGAUUCAACGCCGGA
rnacentral:rRNA from 1 species